UAUAUGUAUAUGUAUAUGAGAGUAAGUAUUGUGUACCUAGUAGUACACCUAUCUCUAAGAAAGAGAGAAAUCAAUAUACAGAGCCAAAGUUUUUUAUUGUGGGUAUUGGAAAGUUGAGUACCUCAUAAUGACUGGUAGUUUCAUCACUGACAGGAAUCCUCAGACUGUGAUAUUUUGAUAAAUGGCGGGGUUUUAUAGGGAAUAAGUUUGCCUCUAUCACUUUUCCAUUUUUUUUUGUGGGGUUUAUUACAUUGUAGGCAGUGUUCUUUUGUGUGUGUUAUAGCGAGCAGAUAGAUUGAGGGAGGUGUAUAAAAACAUAUAACCAUGACUAUAUGGUUUGUUCUGACUAUCAGAAAAUAAGCUGAAUAAUUUUUAGAAAAUUACUAUUUUCAAAUCUCACAACGAGAGAUAUUCAGCAACAGUACUCUAGAGUAAAGAUUGUUUGCCAACAUAACAUAGCAGUCCUGGUUUAGGACAAAUGUUGCUGUAAUUUAGCCCCAGGGGACAUUGUUUCCAGCUGGCUAUACAACAUGAUCUGAGUCCUUAUAUUUUCAAACAAGGAAAUCUAGCUCUCCACUCAGCUGGAUUCCCUUGUUCAAAAAUAUUAGGACACAGAUUGUGUCAUACAGCCAGCUGGAGACGAUGUCUCCUGGGACUAAAUUACAGCAACAUUUGUCCUAAACCUGGAUAAUUUUUAUUUGCCAUCUGGUUGAAUGGUGUUUUUGUGGCAAUUAAAGCAAGAAAAGGAAGGUAUGUAAGUUUAUUAGUGACAGAGGUAUUCAUGGGUUUAUGAAACAGUUUUAUGGAGACCACCAUGACUGAAAAGGCCGAAUAUAGAUUAAAU